rnacentral:rRNA from 1 species
CGCGGCCUAUCAGCUUGUUGGUGGGGUGGUGGCCUACCAAGGCGACGACGGGUAGCCGGCCUGAGAGGGUGACCGGCCACACUGGGACUGAGACACGGCCCAGACUCCUACGGGAGGCAGCAGUGGGGAAUAUUGCGCAAUGGGCGGAAGCCUGACGCAGCAACGCCGCGUGAGGGAUGACGGCCUUCGGGUUGUAAACCUCUUUCAGUCUCGACGAAGCGGAAGUGACGGUAGGGGCAGAAGAAGCACCGGCUAACUACGUGCCAGCAGCCGCGGUAAUACGUAGGGUGCGAGCGUUGUCCGGAUUUAUUGGGCGUAAAGAGCUCGUAGGCGGCUUGUUGCGUCUGCUGUGAAAGCCCGGGGCUUAACCCCGGGUCUGCAGUGGAUACGGGCAGGCUGGAGUCCGGCAGGGGAGACUGGAAUUCCUGGUGUAGCGGUGAAAUGCGCAGAUAUCAGGAGGAACACCGGUGGCGAAGGCGGGUCUCUGGGCCGGUACUGACGCUGAGGAGCGAAAGCGUGGGUAGCGAACAGGAUUAGAUACCCUGGUAGUCCACGCUGUAAACGUUGGGCGCUAGGUGUGGGGGUCAUUCCACGGUCUCCGUGCCGCAGCUAACGCAUUAAGCGCCCCGCCUGGGGAGUACGG